AACCCAUGGUGAGGGCAACUUCUCAUCAGAUCCUUGUAUCUCUCUCAUGCAUCGUAGAGUGUUUCUAAAUCUAUCUGUACAAAAGAGAAUAUAUCAUUAUGUAAUU
rfam:Gossypium hirsutum cultivar TM-1 chromosome 8, whole genome shotgun sequence